AUCAUUGAAUACCUUAGUGCUGAAGAUUAUGUGACAAAGUUUAGUGGAGUCUAGUGCCAAUUCUCGUACUGUAUUCAAUGUAAUCAGUAGGGAGUCUUGAUUAGUAAUCUGUUUAUUUCCCAUACUGUUAGCAUGGUAUUAAACGGGGCCAUCAUCUGGACGAAAUCUUAAUGGUGCGCUUUAACAGGACUAUCUCCCCACCACAUUCUGUAGAAUAAUUAAUGCUGAAGAAUCUUCUGGUUCAUCUUCUAAGGGAUGAUUAGGCAGCACUAAAGUUAACAUAUUGACCAUCAAUGUCUGCGAGGAGUCCACAGCCAUCAAGCAGUGAACAUAAAGCUGCGAAUGAAGAAUGUUAU